GGGGUAUCCCUACAUAGCGGGUGG
rnacentral:siRNA from 1 species